CGCGUAGGCGGCUUGUUAAGUCUGGAGUGGAAGUCCUCUUUUCAAGGGAGGAAUUGCUUUGGAAACUGGCGGGCUUGAGUGCAGGAGAGGUUAUCGGAAUUCCCGGUGUAGCGGUGAAAUGCGUAGAGAUCGGGAGGAACACCAGUGGCGAAGGCGGGUAACUGGACUGCAACUGACGCUGAGGCGCGAAAGUGUGGGGAGCAAACA
rnacentral:rRNA from 1 species